ACAGAUGGAGACUCUCAAAGGGUACUUUUCCCUUUAACUUUCUCUCUUUGUUUCUAAUUUUGUUUUUUAGUAGUUUUAAUUGUUCAGGGUUUGACUCAAACCGUUUGAGAGCUUGGUGUUUACUUGCAACCACAUUCUUGGAUUCUCUAACACAAGUGGCAUAAGUUGCUGGAAGAACUUGCACGAUAGAGUAAAACAAGAAUAUCAACUAGCCACGAACUCCUACUUCUUAAAGCACCGCAAUCCGUAGCUGUGAAAAAAUGUGAGAGAUCAAGUUCUAGAGAAAAACCAAAAGCUAAGCAAGAUUCAGAUUUGUGGAAGUAAAGCUUUUGCAUGAUAAUUCAAUAAAAUCAUAUUCAGAUCUAUCGCAAUGGAGCAUUAAAAUGGUCGUGCGUCAUAUUUGCCCAUUCGAGUCCAAAGUCAAGAUCUAUUUAGAGCAAUCAAAAUACACAUUUUGAAAAGAAGUCUUCUUUCAUCCUUGCACGGUGAAGAACAAAGACUCUGCUUCCCUUUCCAGAUACCAAGAACUCUCAUCAAAACUAGAGUACAAUUUUCCAUUGAAGUAGCAAGAGUAGAUCUAUGGAGGUGCUUUCCAGGAUUUUGAAGUAACGUGAAGCUGAAUAUUGAAAAUAUGCAAAGACAAAAAGGCUCGAGCGGGAAUCAGGGAGGUUCACUUCCAUUGACUUACAUCGACAGCAGAAGGCAGUAGUCAAGGUGCUCUCCUGAUUAGGUGGUGCUAGAGAAAACGAAGGAAAGCCUAGGUGCAUGGUGCAACAUAUGGUAAUUUGUUGGAUUGUUGCCCCCAAGACAUGAAAGUACUGAAACCAUUGGAAGGGCUUUGACUCUCGGUGUUAACAUCAAGAUGAUCACUGGCCAGAUAACCAGUUGUAAACUUGGAAUGGGAAUAAACAUGUAUCCAUCUUCGGCUUUUCUUGGUACGCACAAGUGGUAGGAACCAACAAACCCCAUGGAUGAAUAUGUCUCUCAAGUCUCAAUGGUUGUAAGUUUUGUCACGUAAGAGACAUGGAGAACAUACCUGGCAGAGAAUCAAGUGAAUUCCUCCAAAGAACUGAUCAGAUUAGAAAGAGCUAGUGUCUUGCGGCUGAAUAGAUUUUUUCAGAAUGGGAGAUAUGUAAAGGAAGGAACAAAUACUUUUGACAAACUAUUUAGGCCAUCGUCAAAGAUUUUGCAACAUACACAUCCAUUAAUUAGUAUUCAGUAGACAGUGGAAAGAAGUGUCUAAAGGAAACUUGAACCCAGAUGUCUGCAUAGAGGUAAAUCCACAUAAGAUCUCACACCCUCGGCCAAGUUCACAUCACACAUUAGAAUUAUAGAACCUUGACGUGUCUUUAUUCGGUGGAGCAUGGAAUUCUUCUCAUUGUAGAUCGCUGCUUGACAUUGUUUGACAAUCCACUGGUCGACUCUCUUCACACAACUUACAAUGAGCUCAAGCUUAAAAAUGGGUGUGUUCGGCAUUCUAAAUCAAUGUCACAAAGGAGACAAGCGGUAAGAACCACCAAACCCCAUUGACGAAGAUGGUCUCCUGGAAGAUUUGGCACGUAAGAGACGUAGAGAACAUACUUGUUGGAGCAUCAAAUGAUUUCCUCCAAAGAAAUUGAUUAGAUUGGGAAGACUAGUGUCUCGCGGCUGAAUAGGUAAGCAUGCUUGGAGCAUAACGGCUAGCGGCAAUGUCCAACUGCCAUUAGGAACAACCUGAAAAUCUACAUCGACCUCUUUGAUAGCGUGAUAUAGUCAUGUGUGCAUGCAUACAUUCAUAUGUGCAUACAUUCAUACAUCCAUACAUUCAUGCAUACAUUCAUACAUUCAUACAUUCAUACAUUCAUACAUCCAUACAUGCAUGCAUACAUUCAUACAUGCAUACAUUCAUACAUUCAUAC
rnacentral:sRNA from 1 species